rnacentral:rRNA from 1 species
GACGAACGCUGGCGGCGUGCAUAACACAUGCAAGUCGAACGGAAAGGCCCCUUUGGGGGUCCUCGAGUGGCGAACGGGUGAGUAACACGUGAGUAACCUGCCCUUGACUUCGGGAUAACUUCAGGAAACUGGGGCUAAUACCGGAUAGGAAUCCUUGCUGCAUGGUGGGGGUUGGAAAGCUUCGGCGGUUUUGGAUGGACUCGCGGCUUAUCAGCUUGUUGGUGGGGUAGUGGCUUACCAAGGCUUUGACGGGUAGCCGGCCUGAGAGGGCGACCGGCCACAUUGGGACUGAGAUACGGCCCAGACUCCUACGGGAGGCAGCAGUGGGGAAUAUUGCACAAUGGGCGGAAGCCUGAUGCAGCAACGCCGCGUGCGGGAUGACGGCCUUCGGGUUGUAAACCGCUUUCAGCAGGGGCGAAGCUUGUGGUGACGGUACCUGCAGAAGAAGCACCGGCUAACUACGUG